AGUAAAAAGCUAUUUUAGCAUCUAGUUUCGACCUAGAACAUUGAUAAUUUAAAUCUUUACUU
rnacentral:tRNA from 1 species